rnacentral:lncRNA from 1 species
GCGCUCACGACGGAAGAUUAGCAACAACGAGCAUGGAAUUUUGUGUUUUUUAAAUGAAAGAAUUGCUUGCCUUUUAACCAGUUGACUACAAGCAUCGCUUUGAUGUUCGCAUUAUGCAGCAUCUGGAUAUAUUUUUUUUCAACUUCUGCACCUGCUAGAAAUGGGAAACCUGAGCUUACAACAGACUCGUAUUUCUUUCCAAAUGAAUGUUGUUGGUCUGUCGUAUGGGUUCGUGCAGGCAAUCCCAACAUGCGGCGUGUGUUUGCCAAGUUUAUACCCCGUCUGCUGACCACUGAACAGAAGGAACAUUGCGUCGAAGCCUGUGAAGAUCUUCGUCAGCCGCUGAUGACCCAUCCAUCAUGUCGACGAUCAUCACCGAUGACGAGAGUUGGAUCUACGGGUACGAUCCUGAGACGAAGUAAAAGUCGUCACAAUGGAAGAGCCCUUCAUCUACACAACCGAAGAUGGCACGAUAGUGCCGCAACUCAAUGAUGAGCUGUUUUUUUUUCUCCGACAUCUGCGGUAUUGCAAUUUAUUAGCAAACGACUAUUCCUUCAUUGCAAACGAGUGGAGCUACCUCUGAACAUGCGAAACGUGAAAACUCUUGUCCCCUAGCAUUGUUAACAGUUCUGAUAACUGUCAAUUCUCUACACCAAUAUGUAGUCGCUUCAGAUAGAUAUAUAUCAAUCUAUCACCUUAAUAUUCCAUCACAUUUGUUCACCUCUACAUAUCAUUUUUUUAUUAUUAUUUAUCAUAUAUAGCGAAAAUGCUGUGUAAACUGGACCGACAUUGACUUGGAUUUUUUUUUUAAACUUUAUUCUUUGAAGGGGAAUUACAUUGUUCUCUUCAACUUCUUCCACCCGCUGCGGAACCAUUGAGCAGACCGUUAAUUUAACUCGUCGAUGACUUGCUAAAUCUGUUGAAAAGGUGCUCUAGUUUACUAAACGAAAUCUUCUAGUACAGUCAUGCAAGCUUUUUAUUCAUUUUCCUGCUUACUAUCUUGCAUAAGUGAUCGAAUAGAAAACCAGUUAACCUUUGCUUCUGCUGUAAAACUCUUAAAUUCAUUGCUUACGUCCUAUCUGGAUUGAAUACUUCCUGUUUGGAAGGUUUUUUUUUGGGGGGGGGGGUAAAAUUCCUUUCAGUGUCUUGUUUAAAGCGUAACUAAAUAUGACAUACCCGAGAGACUUUUAUCACAAGUCGAUAUCGCUAAAUUUGAAACUAACAAAACAUGAGCCCUUGAACUAUAAACUCAGUUGUCGAGUGCGUAUUUUAACAUUUUAUCUUGCUAAAAAAUAUUUUCGGCGGUUAGCACACUUAAAGACUGCCUGAUAACCCAACAAAAAUUUUAUAUGCCAUUGACUGUCACUAAAAUUGCCCUGCAUUCCAUCCGUUGGUUUCGUAUCCUGGCGCUGCUCUCAGACAAAUACAACCGUACAGAAGCAGUUUCACUACUUUCAGAAGUAGUAAUUAAAACGUGAAAAAUUGAUAACCAUGGGACACUGCUUUGACUCUGGCUGCUUUUAUGAAGCGGUCAAAUUGAACGACUGAUUUUCUUUUCUGUUGGAAAAUUAUCGAAGAGGGAAGAAAACACGAAACCUAUCCUGGAUCUAAUUUGACUUCCUGUUGAUUCCAUGCGAACCCAAAGACUGUUAUUGCAUCGGUUAUAUUUGAGUUUUAUUCAAAUUUAACUAAUUCUCAUGGUCAAGCGAGGAAAGCGGAAUAGAUGAAUCUAUCUCGAACUUUGUAUGCGAAAUUGAACUGGUCUGUAGAAUUUUUGUAAUUUCAUGAAGUUUGAUGCCUAAAUGAUGAUUUUUGCUUUCAUCGUCAUCCGAUAUUGUGCAAACCUAUAGUUGAGCAAUUUAAAUGUUUUUAGUGGAACAAAAAACUUCCUGCAAAGUCGUUUGCCACCUGGUUUCAAUUUUGCAGUGUUAUUUUUUGUUUAUAUUUUUUUUUUAACCUACCUUAGGUCGUAUUAUUCCAUUUACAAAUAUUGUUCGUUACAGUUCAGUUUUGAAGAGUUUAUUUUCCUGAAGGCGAUGAAAGUAUUGGAUAUUUUUUUAUAAAUACCAAAAUCGGCGUCUCGUCCUUCAUUCUGCAUGACUAUUUUUAUUUUCUUUUAAACUUAUUCCUAGUCAAUAAUUUUGACUUUCUGCAAUUGUCUAUUAACGAAGCUUUCAUUAAACGCUCUAAAAUUUCCAAUGUAAUGGAAUCAGAGAUUGCAAUUCUAAAUAGUGCAACAGCUAUCUCACGAAAGGGUAUUUCU